rnacentral:rRNA from 1 species
UACGUAGGGUGCGAGCGUUGUCCGGAAUUAUUGGGCGUAAAGGGCUCGUAGGCGGUUUGUCGCGUCGGGAGUGAAAUCAUCUGGCUUAACUGGGUGCUUGCUUUCGAUACGGGCAGACUAGAGGUAUGCAGGGGAGAACGGAAUUCCUGGUGUAGCGGUGAAAUGCGCAGAUAUCAGGAGGAACACCAGUGGCGAAGGCGGGUCUCUGGGCCGAUACUGACGCUGAGGAGCGAAAGCGUGGGGAGCGAACAGG